rnacentral:rRNA from 1 species
GGAAUUGACGGGACCGCACAAGCGGUGGAUGAUGUGGUUUAAUUCGAUGCAACGCGAAAACCUUACCCACCUUUGACAUGUACGGAAUCCUUUAGAGAUAGAGGAGUGCUCGAAAGAGAGCCGUAACACAGGUGCUGCAUGGCUGUCGUCAGCUCGUGUCGUGAGAUGUUGGGUUAAGUCCCAUAACGAGCGCAACCCUUACCGUUAGUUACCAUCAGGUUAAGCUGGGGACUCUAGCGGGACUGCCACCGUAAGGUGAGAGGAAGUGGGAUGACGUCAAAUCAGCACGGCCCUUAUGUCCAGGGCUACACACGUGUUACAAUGGCCAGUACAAAGGGCAGCUACCGGGUGACCGGAUGCUAAUCUCUAAAGCUGGUCUCAGUUCGGAUCGAAGUCUGCAACCCGACUUCGUGAAGCUGGAUUCGCUAGUAAUCGCGCAUCAGCCAUGGCGCGGUGAAUACGUUCCCGGGCCUU